CAUGGUCCGCACAAUCUUCAUCUUCUUCUCUCCAAUCUAUUACCCUUAUAUAAUUUGAAAAAGAAACCCUCUUAUCCUUUUUUCCGAUUAACAAGCCUUCAACUUUCUAACAAACGCCUCAAUAAAUUUGUUAAAAGAUAGACCAAAUCGUUGCGUGUCGGUAUAGAGAGAAAGGGAGAGAACAUUAUGAUAAGGGAAAACGCGUUUCUCGGAUUGUUUGGUUUUUGUUUUUGUUUUAUAGGGUGAAAAUGUGAAUGUGCGAGAGAGAUAUAGACGGAGCCUGAUAUCUGGCCUUCGUGUGUGAAAGAGGUAAAAGCCUACACUGAAUAAUACUGGGCAAUUUGGACCUAAUCUGGUCGGCUGUGUGUUGAGUUGGAAGGUUCGUAUCUUGGCUGUUCCCAA
rnacentral:lncRNA from 1 species